CGUCUAGGCGGACCGGCAAGUCGGCUGUGAAAGUCCUCGGCUCACCCGAGGAAGUGCAUCCGAAACUGUCGGUCUUGAGGACGAGAGGGGAGAGUGGAACUCCUGGUGGAGCGGUGAAAUGCGUAGAUAUCAGGAGGAACGCCGGUGGCGAAAGCGACUCUCUGGCUCGUUCCUGACGCUGAAGCGCGAAAGCUAGGGGAGCGAACG
rnacentral:rRNA from 1 species